UAUUGAGAGUUUGAUCCUGGCUCAGGACGAACGCUGGCGGCGUGCUUAACACAUGCAAGUCGAGGGGCAGCACAGGUAGCAAUACCGGGUGGCGACCGGCGCACGGGUGAGUAACGCGUAUGCAACUUACCUAUCAGAGGGGGAUAACCCGGCGAAAGUCGGACUAAUACCGCAUGAAGCAGGGGCCCCGCAUGGGGAUAUUUGCUAAAGAUUCAUCGCUGAUAGAUAGGCAUGCGUUCCAUUAGGCAGUUGGCGGGGUAACGGCCCACCAAACCGACGAUGGAUAGGGGUUCUGAGAGGAAGGUCCCCCACAUUGGUACUGAGACACGGACCAAACUCCUACGGGAGGCAGCAGUGAGGAAUAUUGGUCAAUGGGCGUAAGCCUGAACCAGCCAAGUCGCGUGAGGGAUGAAGGUUCUAUGGAUCGUAAACCUCUUUUAUAAGGGAAUAAAGCU
rnacentral:rRNA from 1 species